CUACGGGCGGCUCCAGUGAGGAAUAUUGCACAAUGGGGGGAACCCUGAUGCAGCAACGCCGCGUGGAGGAUGACGCAUUUCGGUGUGUAAACUCCUUUUAUAUGUCAAGAAAAUGACGGUAGCAUAUGAAUAAGCGCCGGCUAACUCCGUGCCAGCAGCCGCGGUAAUACGGAGGGCGCAAGCGUUACUCGGAAUCACUGGGCGUAAAGGACGCGUAGGCGGGUUGAAAAGUCAGGUGUGAAAGCCUACAGCUUAACUGUAGAACUGCACUUGAAACUUCUAAUCUAGAGUAUGGGAGGGGGAGAUGGAAUUAGUGGUGUAGGGGUAAAAUCCGUAGAUAUCACUAGGAAUACCUAAAGCGAAGGCGAUCUCCUGGAACAUUACUGACGCUAAGGCGUGAAAGCGUGGGGGGCAAACAGGAUUAGAUACCCUCGUAGUC
rnacentral:rRNA from 1 species